rnacentral:misc_RNA from 1 species
GGAAGGAUGAUAUUGGAUAUGAUUACUCGCCCUAUGGGGAGUCCGAGUGGAGAGUGAAGCUGUGGCUUUUCGUUGCGUAUGUUGUAUCGUUCGUUUCGUUGGCAGCUGCGACAGGCUUAUUGGUACAAGAUGCACUCACAGAUAAGGGCCCCUCGUCGUGGACAGGUGUUGCUGGCGUACUUCAGUGUGUGUUUGUGCUGAUAAGUGGGCUGGCGUACUGGACCUGUCAUUCCGAAGAUUGAGCUGAACAGUA